CUCGUAGGCGGUUUGUCGCGUCUGCUGUGAAAAUCCGAGGCUCAACCUCGGACCUGCAGUGGGUACGGGCAAACUAGAGUGCGGUAGGGGAGAUGGGAAUUCCUGGUGUAGCGGUGGAAUGCGCAGAUAUCAGGAGGAACACCAAUGGCGAAGGCACAUCUCUGGGCCGUAACUGACGCUGAGGAGCGAAAGCGUGGGGAGCGAACA
rnacentral:rRNA from 1 species